CCCUAAGCGGGUGGUAAACUCCAUCUAAGGCUAAAUACGACCACGAGACCGAUAGCGAACAAGUACCGUGAAGGAAAGUUGAAAAGAACUUUGAAGAGAGAGAGUUCAAGGGUACGUGAAACCGUUCAGGGGUAAACCUGAGAAACCCGAAAGGUCGAACGGGGAGAUUCAACGCGUCUUGGAGCUCGCGAGCGAUGCGCGGCAUGAUGGGCGGCCCCGCUACUAACGGCGGGGCCGCCCGCCGAACGAUCGGGCACCGAACGCGCGCACUUCUCCUCCUGUAGGACGUCGUGACCCGUUGGGCGCCGGCCUAAGGUCCGCGGUGGAGACCGGACGCCUUUGGCGCGUCCGGACCUGCGGUAUCCCGUACGGCUCCACCGACGGUAUAACUAAGGCGCGGGGCCGCGACACGUUCCCGUCCGGCGCAUCGCAAGUGCGAACGGCGAACGGGGCAUCCGGGCUAGAUACCGUAUCCCCGACCGUUCUGCUGUUGGCGGCGCGGUCGUCGGACAGACCCCGUACACGCCAGUCUACGGCGCUAUAGAUU
rnacentral:rRNA from 1 species